GAUGGAGAACGUAGCGAAAUGCGAUAAGUAAUGCGAAUUGCAGAAUUCAGUGAAUCAUCGAAUCUUUGAACGCACAUUGCGCCCGCCAGUAUUCUGGCGGGCAUGCCUGUCUGAGCGUCGUUUCGACCCUCGCGCCCGGCUUCUGUCGGGGGCGGUGUUGGGGAUCGGCCACACCCUUCAGUGGGAGGCCGGCCCCUAAAUUCAGUGGCGACCACGCUGUAGCCUCCCCUGCGUAGUACUAAAACCACCUCGCAGGCGGAGAGCGGUGCGGCCCGCCGUAAAACCCCCCAACUUUUACAAGGUCGACCUCAGAUCAGGUAGGAAUACCCGCUGAACUUAAGCAUAUCAAUAAGCGGAGGA
rnacentral:misc_RNA from 1 species